UACAGAGGGUGCGAGCGUUAAUCGGAUUUACUGGGCGUAAAGCGUGCGUAGGCGGCUAAUUGAGUCGGAUGUGAAGUCCCCGAGCUUAACUUGGGAAUUGCAUUCGAUACUGGUUAGCUAGAGUGUGGGAGAGGAUGGUAGAAUUCCAGGUGUAGCGGUGAAAUGCGUAGAGAUCUGGAGGAAUACAGAUGGCGAAGGCAGCCAUCUGGCCUAACACUGACGCUGAGGUACGAAAGCAUGGGGAGCAAACAGG
rnacentral:misc_RNA from 1 species